rnacentral:rRNA from 1 species
UACGUAGGGGUCGAGCGUUGUCCGGAGUUACUGGGCGUAAAGCGUGUGCAGGCGGCUCAUUGCGCCCGGCGUGAAAGCCCCCGGCUUAACCGGGGAGGGUCGUCGGGGACGGGUGAGCUUGAGGGUAUCAGGGGCUGGUGGAAUUCCCGGUGUAGUGGUGAAAUGCGUAGAGAUCGGGAGGAACACCCGUGGUGAAGGCGGCCAGCUGGGAUACACCUGACGCUGAGACACGAAGGCGUGGGGAGCGAACGGG